rnacentral:rRNA from 1 species
AUGCCGCGUGUAUGAAGAAGGCCUUCGGGUUGUAAAGUACUUUCAGCGGGGAGGAAGGUGUUGUGGUUAAUAACCGCAGCAAUUGACGUUACCCGCAGAAGAAGCACCGGCUAACUCCGUGCCAGCAUCCAUCUGGCGCUUACUCCUCUGGGCGGCGGAUUACUACCACCAUCCCCUCGGCGACGUUCUGUUUCACGCUCUGCCGGUUUUAUUGCGUCAGGGAAAACCAGCCAGCAACGCGCCCCUAUGGUAUU